GACAUACUCCCUCUAUUCGGAAUUACAUAUCACAGAAAUGGAUGUAUCUAGACGUAUUUUAGUUCUAGAUACAUCCAUAUCCGAGACAAGUAAUUCUGAACGGAGAGAGUACUUU
rfam:Triticum aestivum genome assembly, contig: Triticum_aestivum_CS42_TGACv1_scaffold_642461_T_4AS-0.234594_4AL-0.166615